rnacentral:lncRNA from 10 species
GCGCCACAUGGGAACUGAGCAUCUAUGAACGACCAUGAAUGACAGUGUCCUGGAAGUGAAGGGACAUAGGACGAGGGAGAAAGGAAAUUAACCACCCAGCAAAGCCGGUGCUACACAAUGACUUCCACACAGCUUCAGGAAACUGAUCCGGGAUGUACAGAAAGGAUGCCUUGCAUUGAUUCUGCUGGCCCACCUACUCCCUCUCCUAGAUUUCUGGCUGGGAGCCCUGUGGCCACACAUUUGCCUCUGGUUCCUGCAUGAGGUCCACUCGCUCCCACCUCUCCACUGACCCUGCCGUCUCGAGGGCUGUGUUUCCAAUGGCACCUCCCAAGAAGUUGCAAAGGGGCUUCCCACGGCUCGGCGAGUACCAGUCGGUUCCUCUACCACACACGGGUGUAUGUGUUUUUAAUGAGGAUUUUAAUGCAUAAUUUCUCCAACAAGUUGAAUUAUCUGUGG